rnacentral:rRNA from 1 species
UACGUAGGGUGCAAGCGUUAAUCGGAAUUACUGGGCGUAAAGCGUGCGCAGGCGGUUUUGUAAGUCAGAUGUGAAAUCCCCGGGCUUAACCUGGGAACUGCGUUUGAAACUACAAGGCUAGAGUGUGGCAGAGGGGGGUGGAAUUCCACGUGUAGCAGUGAAAUGCGUAGAGAUGUGGAGGAACACCGAUGGCGAAGGCAGCCUCCUGGGCUAGUACUGACGCUCAUGCACGAAAGCGUGGGGAGCAAACAGG